rnacentral:rRNA from 1 species
CACGGGGGGAGCAAGCGUUGUUCGGAAUCACUGGGCGUAAAGAGCGUGUAGGCGGCCCGGUAAGUCCGCUGUAAAAGUCAAAGGCUCAACCUUUGAAUGUCAGUGGAUACUGCCGGGCUAGAGUCCGGAAGAGGCGAGUGGAACUCCUGGUGUAGCGGUGGAAUGCGCAGAUAUCAGGAAGAACACCAACGGCGAAGGCAGCUCGCUAGGACGGUACUGACGCUGAGACGCGAAAGCGUGGGGAGCGAACAGG